GUGCUCCCUUUGGCAGCAUGCAUACUAUAAUUGGAACCUUCCAGAGACUGUUAGCAUGGCUCCUGAGCAAGGAUGACAUGCAAAUUAGAGAACCGUUCCAAUUUUAG